rnacentral:rRNA from 1 species
GACGUAGGGGGCCAGCGUUGUUCGGAAUUACUGGGUGUAAAGGGUUCGUAGGCGGUGUGGCAAGUCGGGAGUGAAAUCUCUGGGCUCAACUCAGAGACUGCUUCCGGAAACUGCUGUGCUGGAGUGUGGGAGAGGCGCGUGGAAUUGCAGGUGUAGCGGUGAAAUGCGUAGAUAUUCGCAAGAACACCAGUGGCGAAGGCGGCUCACUGGCCCGAUACUGACGCUGAGGCACGAAAGCGUGGGGAGCAAACAGG